rnacentral:tRNA from 1 species
GAAACUUUAGUAUAAUGGUGAAUACGUAUGACUUUUAAUCAUUAAAAUGUAGGUUCAAUUCCUAUAAGUUCUA